GUGGGGAAUCUUGCGCAAUGGGCGAAAGCCUGACGCAGCGACGCCGCGUGGGUGACGAAGGCCUUCGGGUUGUAAAGCCCUGUGGGGUAGAACGAACUGGCAUCGGGCUAAUAUCUCGGUGUCUUGACGGUACUGCCUUAGCAAGCAUCGGCUAACUCUGUGCCAGCAGCCGCGGUAAGACAGAGGAUGCGAACGUUGCUCGGAUUUACUGGGCGUAAAGCGCGUGUAGGCGGUCUCGUUAGUCGGGUGUGAAAGCCCCGGGCUCAACCCGGGAAGUGCACCCGAUACUGCGAGACUGGGGUACUGAAGAGGAGAGCGGAAUUCCCGGUGUAGAGGUGAAAUUCGUAGAUAUCGGGAGGAACACCAGUGGCGAAGGCGGCUCUCUGGGCAGAUACCGACGCUGAGACGCGAAAGCGUGGGGAGCAAACAGGAUUAGAUACCCUUGUAGUCC
rnacentral:rRNA from 1 species